CCUUAGGGGUAUGGUCUUCAGAUUUCCAGG
rnacentral:piRNA from 1 species